CCUACGGGCGGCAGCAGUAGGGAAUAUUGCUCAAUGGGGAAACCCGGAAGCAGAAACGGCGCGUGGAGGAAGAAGGUUUUCGGAUUGUAAACUCCUUUUGUUAGAGAAGAUAAUGACGGUAUCUAACGAAUAAGCACCGGCUAACUCCGUGCCAGCAGCCGCGGUAAUACGGAGGGUGCAAGCGUUACUCGGAAUCACUGGGCGUAAAGAGCGCGUAGGCGGGAUAGCAAGUCAGAUGUGAAAUCCUAUGGCUUAACCAUAGAACUGCAUUUGAAACUGGUAUUCUAGAGUAUGGGAGAGGUAGGUGGAAUGCGUGGUGUAGGGGUGAAAUCCGUAGAGAUCAAGAGGAAUACUCAUUGCGAAGGCGGCCUGCUAGAACAUAACUGACGCUGAUGCGCGAAAGCGUGGGGAGCAAACAGGAUUAGAUACCCGGGUAGUC
rnacentral:rRNA from 1 species